rnacentral:lncRNA from 1 species
UUUUUUUUUAAACCAUCUGUGCUGGCUUGUGUGUUCAUUGCUUGAAUAAUUAAUAAUCAUUACUAUCUGUUCUGCAGUGUGUGGGAGAAGAGUGAGCAAUCUUGGAUACCAGCACAUUUGCCCCAUGCCUGUCCCCUUUGCGUAAGCUUUCAUGUGAGGCUUUUCAUUGUCUGGCACCUGGUGUAGAUUUGCUGCCCUCGGCCUUUAGUGUUUGUGAACUACAAUAAAGAACCCCCUCUGGUUCACCAGCUGGGGGCAAGUAUUGCUGAUGGGAAGUAAUUUCUCAGAAGAAUAGUAAUGAAGAAGAUGGGGGGUUUGGAGAAAUGAAGCCACAAAGUCCAUUUAGGUUGAGAAAGCUUUGCUGGUCCAAAUGCAAAAUCGACCAGUCACCUUGUGGCCAAACCUCAGUUUUAGGAAUAGCAGAAUUUCAGAAAAUCCCUAACCAAAAAAAAAAAAAAAAAAGUGAAACACGGAGGGUUUAUCAUCUUGAGGUGGCGGGCAGGAGCAAAGCUUCAGCUCUUUAUUGUUGGCAGGCUCUUCUGCUUAUUUGCAGUAACAAACAGUUAAGCAGUCUGUAACUCAACAGGGCCAGGAAGGAAUCCCCAGGAAUGGUCAUUUUAGCCUCUGCAUACAUGGAGAACAUUGCAGCACAGGUAUGGAAUGUAAUGAUCUCUAGGAGGAAGGGCUGGCAACUGUUUUAGCACUUACUCCCAGAGAGUAGAAGCUAUUUGCUUUUAGGGAAGGUCAUUUUUUGUCCUUAAUUGGACAAUAACCAGCAGGAAAUAAGGUGCUAAACAGACUUCUGUGUUUAAAGACUAAUAGACUGAGUAUUUGGAUCUCAUGUUGCUUUGUCUUUACUGGGUAAUGGGAGUGUCUGAGGCUGCACUGACAACAUAUGCUUAAAAGACAUGCGAUUCUACCAAAACUCAGUCACAGAAAGGAGUCACUAUUUCUUUCUACUGUUCCCAAGCACACACAGCAGGGUUCUGUGAUGUUGGGAAGGUCUACUCAUCAGCUGCUUCUGAGACCAACAUUCUGGGGGCAAGUUGUCGGACAGCCAGAUGUUCACAGCUGCACAUACCCACCUCAUGACACAAGAUAUGUAUGUUCACUGAUCUACAAAAUGCUUUCACCAUUGUGUUUAAAAAUUCCUUAUUAUCUCCAAAGUAAAAUCAGAUGACGAUUAUUUACCAAGGCACGGCCCAAGAGGAUGGCGCUGACUGUGGUAUGCUCUGCUCUGCACUUGGCCUCUGUAUCAAUGUCUGUCCUCCAUAUCACUGAUGAGCCACAUCAAAUAUAAACAGGAAACAAGCACAAGGACCAAAGAAAAGUUUUUUUUUUUCAUAUACACACACACACACGUAUAUAUAUUUAGUUAUAGAUGGACACAAUGACUUUAUUUUUAUGUGGUGCUGAGGAUAGAACCCAGGGCCUCACACAUUCUAGGCAAGCACUGUACCACUGAGCCACAACCCCAGCCCUCACUUUCUAUAUUAUUGAAAAUUAUUAGUGCUUAAAAUUUAGUUUUAUUUAUUUGUUUAGGUACUAGAGAUUAAACUCAGGAGAACUCUACUACUGAACUACACUCUUUAAUUUUUAUUUUGAGUCAAGUUUCACUAAAUUGCCUAAACUGACCUUGAACCUGUAAUCCUUCUGUGUCAGUCCCAAGUUUCUAGGAAUACAGGCAUGUGCCACCACACCUGGCCAAAAUUUAGUUUUUAAAAAACAAAAAAGCUG